ensembl:snRNA U6 U6 spliceosomal RNA
GUGCUUGCUUCAGCAGCACAGAUACUAAAAUUGGAGCAAUAUAGAGAGGAUUGACAUGGCCCCUGCACAAGGAUAGCAUGCAAAUUCAUGAAGCAUUCUGUAUUUAA